UAAGUUUGUCAUAUUAUGGUAUCUGCAAUGC
rnacentral:piRNA from 1 species